rnacentral:lncRNA from 1 species
ACAUCUCCUUGUACCUGUUAUUCUCCAAAUCAGUAUGUCCUAGCCAUACCAGCCUUCUUUCUGUUCUUAAAAUACUCCAGUCUCCCAACUCAGAUCCGGUGCCACACUUACCUCAACUUAGAACAUGGCUUUGCUUCUGGUAUGAAAUGGCUUGCUCCUUAUCCUUUAUCCGUCCACAAAAAUACAGUCUCUUCAUAAUCUAGU